GAGGAACCUGCCUCGGAGUGGGGAAUAACAGACCGAAAGGCCUGCUAAUACCGCAUGAUGCAGUUGGACCGCAUGGUCCUGACUGCCAAAGAUUUAUCGCUCUGAGAUGGCCUCGCGUCUGAUUAGCUUGUUGGCGGGGUAAUGGCCCACCAAGGCGACGAUCAGUAGCCGGACUGAGAGGUUGGCCGGCCACAUUGGGACUGAGACACGGCCCAGACUCCUACGGGAGGCAGCAUG
rnacentral:rRNA from 1 species